GCGCUCUUAGUUCAGUUCGGUAGAACGUGGGUCUCUAAAACCCAGGUUCAAAUCCUACAGAGCGUG
rnacentral:tRNA from 1 species